GUGACAUUAUGACCAGGACUGUGAUAACGGGUACAAUACGAUUGUGUAUACGCUGCUUAUCGGCCAUAACUUUUUCAACCUUUUUCACGACACGAUUGGGUCGGGAUAGUCGAAUUGCACUUAUUACGUAAAAAGAAAGAUCGCGUAUCCACGAUCAGUAUGAGACAUGAGUUUGGUGACCCAGUACACCUCAUACGCAACCCAUACAAUAAACAGUAUGAACCAAACUACUAAACUUAAUCCAAAAUUUUUAAUUAUGGAUAUGAGUAUACCAUUUUAAGAAUAAAUAUAUAAAAUAUUUGUUGGAAGUGUUCAAAAGUGACUUGUACGGGUAAAGUUACUACAAGCCGUCAUGAGCCGUAUAUAUUAUUUACAAAAUUUACUGAUCAUAACCACGAUCCGAGUGAUACAUACAAUAUUGAAGCCGAAAAACCUUGCACUCAUAAAAGCUGAGCUAUUAAUAGUAAAGAAUCGACAAAUCAAAUUCUUCUGUCUGUAACUCUUGAAAAUAUAUCUUUAGUAUAUUAUAGUGUGUAAUGUCUUAUGUUUUAUGUGUAGGCUUAUACUGCACAUUUUAAUUAUUAUUGUUAAUUGAAACAAUUAAGUCGUAAAAUUAGAUACUCUUUAAUACAAUUUUAUUGUUUCUCUAUUAUAAUUAAUAAUUGUGUGUUGUGCAUAUAUUAAAAAUUCACGAAGCCUGUAGGUACACAGCACGAAUUUUAUCAUGACUAUUAUUAUUAUUAUUAUUAUUAUUAUUAUUAUUUAUGUCUGUUAACUACGUGUGUUUUGUAAUAAAAAUGAUGUGAUAUGUA